AUUGAACGCUGGCGGCAGGCCUAACACAUGCAAGUCGAACGGCAGCGGGGGAGAAGCUUGCUUUUCCUGCCGGCGAGUGGCGAACGGGUGAGUAAUACAUCGGAACGUGCCCUGUAGUGGGGGAUAACUAGUCGAAAGAUUAGCUAAUACCGCAUACGACCUGAGGGUGAAAGUGGGGGACCGCAAGGCCUCAUGCUAUAGGAGCGGCCGAUGUCUGAUUAGCUAGUUGGUGGGGUAAAGGCCUACCAAGGCGACGAUCAGUAGCUGGUCUGCGAGGACGAUCAGCCACACUGGGACUGAGACACGGCCCAGACUCCUACGGGAGGCAGCAGUGGGGAAUUUUGGACAAUGGGCGAAAGCCUGAUCCAGCAAUGCCGCGUGUGUGAAGAAGGCCUUCGGGUUGUAAAGCACUUUUGUCCGGAAAGAAAUGGCUCUGGUUAAUACCUGGGGUCGAUGACGGUACCGGAAGAAUAAGGACCGGCUAACUACGUGCCAGCCGCCGCGGUAAGAC
rnacentral:rRNA from 1 species